rnacentral:rRNA from 1 species
CCAGCAGCCGCGGUAAUUCCAGCUCCAAUAGCGUAUAUUAAAGUUGUUGCAGUUAAAAAGCUCGUAGUUGGAUUUCUGGCAGGAGCGUCCGGUCUCACACUCAGUGCGGGAACUUGGAUGUCUCUGGCCAUCUUUGGGGAUAUCCUGUUUGGCAUUAAGUUGUCGGGCAGGGGAUACCCAUCGUUUACUGUGAAAAAAUUAGAGUGUUUAAAGCAGGCUUAUGCCGUUGAAUAUAUUAGCAUGGAAUAAUAAGAUAGGACUUUGGUACUAUUUUGUUGGUUUGUGCACCAGAGUAAUGAUUAAUAGGGACAGUUGGGGCUAUUCGUAUUCCAUUGUCAGAGGUGAAAUUCUUGGAUUUCUGGAAGACGAACUACUGCGAAAGCAUUUAGCAAGGAUGUUUUCAUUAAUCAAGAACGAAAGU